rnacentral:rRNA from 1 species
UACGAAGGGGGCUAGCGUUGCUCGGAAUGACUGGGCGUAAAGGGUGCGUAGGUGGUGAGGUAAGUCGGAUGUGAAAUCUCCGAGCUCAACUCGGAAAUGGCAUUGGAAACUACCUUGCUAGAGGGUUGGAGGGGGGACUGGAAUACUUGGUGUAGCAGUGAAAUGCGUAGAUAUCAAGUGGAACACCAGUGGCGAAGGCGAGUCCCUGGACAACUCCUGACACUGAGGCACGAAAGCUAGGGGAGCAAACAGG